GUGAGGAAUAUUGGUCAAUGGGCGGAAGCCUGAACCAGCCAAGUAGCGUGCAGGAUGACGGCCCUACGGGUUGUAAACUGCUUUUAUACGGGAAUAACGCGCCUUACGUGUAGGGCUUUGCAUGUACCGUAUGAAUAAGGACCGGCUAAUUCCGUGCCAGCAGCCGCGGUAAUACGGAAGGUCCGGGCGUUAUCCGGAUUUAUUGGGUUUAAAGGGAGCGUAGGCCGCAUGUCAAGCGUGCUGUGAAAUGUCCGGGCUCAACCCGGGCCUUGCAGCGCGAACUGGCGUGCUUGAGUCCGCGGAAAGCAGGCGGAAUUCGUCGUGUAGCGGUGAAAUGCUUAGAUAUGACGAAGAACCCCGAUUGCGAAGGCAGCUUGCUGCAGCGGAACUGACGCUGAUGCUCGAAAGCGCGGGUAUCGAACAGGAUUAGAAACCCUAGUAGUCC
rnacentral:rRNA from 1 species